rnacentral:rRNA from 1 species
GACGAACGCUGGCGGCGUGCCUAAUACAUGCAAGUAGAACGCUGAAGAGAGGAGCUUGCUCUUCUUGGAUGAGUUGCGAACGGGUGAGUAACGCGUAGGUAACCUGCCUUGUAGCGGGGGAUAACUAUUGGAAACGAUAGCUAAUACCGCAUAACAAUGGAUGACCCAUGUCAUUUAUUUGAAAGGGGCAAAUGCUCCACUACAAGAUGGACCUGCGUUGUAUUAGCUAGUAGGUGAGGUAACGGCUCACCUAGGCGACGAUACAUAGCCGACCUGAGAGGGUGAUCGGCCACACUGGGAGGGAGACACGGCCCAGACGCCUACGGGAGGCAGCAGUAGGGAAUCUUCGGCAAGGGGGGCAACCCUGAGCGAGCAACGCCGCGGGAGUGAAGAAGGUUUUCGGAUCGGAAAGCUCUGUUGUAAGUCAAGAACGAGUGUGAGAGUGGAAAGUUCACACUGUGACGGUAGCUUACCAGAAAGGGACGGCUAACUACGUG